rnacentral:misc_RNA from 1 species
AACGCACCUUGCGCCCUUUGGUAUUCCGAAGGGCAUGCCUGUUUGAGUGUCAUUAAAUUCUCAACCUUGACCAGUUUGUUGAAGUGGCUUGACUGGACUUUUGUUAGUUCGGAGGCUACUAUCAGUUUGGAGCUUUGAAUGCCUUUGUUUGCGUACUUGCUCUGUGCUGGACUCAAGGAUUGGAUGUGAGGGUAUUGCUGGCUUCCUUUAGUGGCGGUCUGCUCCCUUCAAAUGUAUUAGUGGGAUCCUGUGUGAAGGGUUCACUUGGUGUGAUAAUUCUACGCCUUUUGAAUCUGAAGCCAAUUUAAUGGAACCUGCUUCUAGCCGUCUGCAAGGACAACUACACUUUUGACUUUGACCUCAAAUCAGGUAGGACUACCCGCUGAACUUAA